CUGAGAGAGGUCAGACAAGCCUGCUCAAGGCCAGUCAAAGCCUGCAGUCACCUGUGUUUCCAUCCAGAGCUCUUCCAGCUACACCACAGUUCAACUAAGAAGGUCACUCCAAAGAUGUCACCAGUGUUUUCCCCAAACAUCAUUUUCAUCUUGGCACUCCCUUCCUCAAGCAGAACCGAACAACUCCGACUUGAGAGAGAGAGCAAGCGGAAGAGAGAAGCGCCCGAUUCUGUCACUGUCUAGCUGUGUGACCCAAAGGAAAUGAUCCAGCCUCUCUGAGCUUCAGUUUCCUCAGCUGCAAAGUAAGGGAAAUAACUAUCUCUUAAAAAUGGGUAGGUAAAUUUUUAUGACGGUUAAAUCCAUU
rnacentral:lncRNA from 1 species